GUUGUACUCCCUCCAUCUCAAAAUUCUUGUCUUAGAUUUGUUUAGAUAUGAAUGCAUCUAGUUAAGUUUUAGUAUUUAGAUACAUUCAUUUCUAUACAAAGCUAAGACAAAAAAUUUAGGACGGAGGGAGUAUAUG
rnacentral:pre_miRNA from 1 species